UAUAACAGCUGCUGGCGUGAUUCGCCGCCCGGUCAUGCGCUGUCGUUUUUUAUUUGUUUAACGCUGCGGAUAACUUUGUGAUGCAGGUGUUGACAGGGCCUCCCGCCGAAGGAGGAGUUCCGUGGAAUUGGCUACUUUGUCUUCCUCAAACAUCUUCAAGGUCUCGAGCGAGGAAUAAAUGCUGAGCAAGAAGCGUGCUCUCUGAGGAGAUCCCCCGGCGCCUAGCGAGGACCGUGGCCAGGCCAUGCAGACUGUGCUUACAUGCUCGCUGUUCCUUUUUCCUAUGCAUAUACCUCUUUGAGAAGUACCAUUAAAGAGGCAUAGGGCAUGGGAAAAUGGGGCUGCAGAGGUAAUACAGCGAAGGCAGCAGGACACCUUGCUGUGCCCACUGGGCUCCACAGGCCUGCGCUCCAGACUCGAAGCUCCAAGGACCGGAUGAAUCAGCGCACCUCACUUCACAAGCCUCUUUUUUUUUUUUUAAACAAUCUUUUCUUUGAUUUUUUCUGUUUCUUAAGUCAAGUUAUUGCUCUUUAUAUUACUUACUCAAUUCUUUCUAUUCACUGUUAAAACUAAUGUAAAUUUAACAUAAUGGGUUUUUU